GAUGAACGCUGGCGGCGUGCCUAAUACAUGCAAGUCGAGCGAAUGGAUUAAGAGCUUGCUCUUAUGAAGUUAGCGGCGGACGGGUGAGUAACACGUGGGUAACCUGCCCAUAAGACUGGGAUAACUCCGGGAAACCGGGGCUAAUACCGGAUAACAUUUUGAACCGCAUGGUUCGAAAUUGAAAGGCGGCUUCGGCUGUCACUUAUGGAUGGACCCGCGUCGCAUUAGCUAGUUGGUGAGGUAACGGCUCACCUAGGCAACGAUGCGUAGCCGGCCUGAGAGGGGGAUCGGCCACGCUGGGACUGAGACACGGCCCAGACUCAUACGGGAGGCAGCAGUAGGGAAUCUUCCGCAAUGGACGAAAGUCUGACGGAGCAACGCCGCGUGAGUGAUGAAGGCUUUCGGGUCGUAAAACUCUGUUGUUAGGGAAGAACAAGUGCUAGUUGAAUAAGCUGGCACCUUGACGGUACCUAACCAGAAAGCCACGGCUAACUACGUGCCAGCAGCCGCCGCCG
rnacentral:rRNA from 1 species